GAGGAUAUAGCUCAGUGGUAGAGCACAUGCCGAGCACGCAUGAGGUCCUGCGUUCAAUUCCCAAUCCCUCCA
rnacentral:tRNA from 1 species